AGGACGAACGCUGGCGGCGUGCUUAACACAUGCAAGUCGAGCGGUAAGGCUCCUUCGGGAGUACACGAGCGGCGAACGGGUGAGUAACACGUGAGCAAUCUGCCCUUCACAUUGGAAUAACUUCCGGAAACGGAAGCUAAUACCGAAUACGACCACCGGAGGCAUCUUCUGGUGGUGGAAAGUUCCGGCGGUGAAGGAUGAGCUCGCGGCCUAUCAGCUUGUUGGUGGGGUAACGGCCUACCAAGGCGACGACGGGUAGCCGGCCUGAGAGGGUGACCGGCCACACUGGGACUGAGACACGGCCCAGACUCCUACGGGAGGCAGCAGUGGGGAAUAUUGGACAAUGGGCGAAAGCCUGAUCCAGCAACGCCGCGUGAGGGAUGACGGCCUUCGGGUUGUAAACCUCUUUCAGCAGGGACGAAGCGAAAGUGACGGUACCUGCAGAAGAAGCACCGGCCAACUACGUGCCAGCAGCCGC
rnacentral:rRNA from 1 species